GUUCAACUAUGAUUUUUUAAAGAAAACCGUCUUUGUCUCCUCAAUCCUUUGUUAAAAAUCUUCAAAGAUGGCAAAGGCAUAGUCAUCGAAUUGAAAUGUCAACUAGGGUUAAGAGUGCAUUCUCCUUCUCCUUCUUUGCCAUAUUCGCCUUCUCCUUCUCCUUCGUCACUAUAUUUGCCUUCCUGGACUGUUUCCACAGCGCCUUCCUCUCCCUCCUUCAGCGUCGGGUAAAGCCUCCCGUUAAUCUCUUUUUGCAUCUCUUCCUUUUUUGAUUUCAUGGCCUCCAAUGCCGCCUCUGCCUCGCUGACGUUGCCAUUCCCGUUCCAAAAAUCAUCCAUGGUUUUCAACAGAAACGACACCGUCUCAAGCAGCCUAUCAGCGCAGUCUGAGUACUGGUGACUCUUGACUCUUUGUUUCUCCACGACGCAGAGGUAAAGGUAGAGGAAGAGGAGGAGAUGGAGACGAUGAUGAUGAUGAGCUGCGUUUCAAUUUCAGAGUUCAGUUAUGAGAGGCGCUAUUAGUGUGAGAUCCUCUUCAUCUUUGUGUUUCGGCACACCCAAGUUGUUCAAUUCAGCAAGGGUAGCAGUGAAUGGUCGAUGAAGAAACAAAGGUUUGAGUUGCAACGCCAUGUUCGAUUUGGGUGUGCCCAAACUGGUCGUUAUUGUCGGCGUGCCCAAGAAAUUGCCUGAAGUCGAGCGUAGCAUCGACAAAACUGUAAAGAGCUUCCAAUAGGUAGCUUUACUCUCAUAUUGCAUUACCACUAACUCUCUCCACUCCUUGUGCUGGAGAUCACACCAUCGAGCAACUGAGGGAUAAUUUCAAUAAGAUCCAAACCCAAACUGUAACAACUGUGAGGGGAAAAGUAAAAUAAAAUGGGAGGAUGGUUAUUUGUUGGAUUUUGGCAUUCACUUGUCAAGUGUUUUCCACAUUAUUGCUUUUAAGGAUGGUACAAACAUGGCAGUGAAAGAAUCUUCAGAAAUGGCCAGUUCUUUGAACCAAGAACCAAGAAAGGGAAUGAUUCUACCAUUUCAACCUCUUUCACUUGCAUUCAAUCAUAUUAGCUAUUAUGUAGAUAUGUCAGCUUUCACAUAUGCUUUCCUUACACUGGCAUGUUAUGAUUACAAAAAUUUCCUUCUUGCAGAUGUUCUAUCUGUCCCUAGAUGUUUGGUGUUGUAGCAUCAAUCAAUCAUGUUAACCACCUCUUUGAAUUCACGAGAGCUUAGCUUUCUUGAAUACAUAACAGAAUAAAUAUAAAAUCUCUUGUUCAACUCUUAAGGCCAUGUAAAUUAUUCUUGAAAAAUUCAAUGCUCUUAUAUGUUUAUCAAAAUUGUUAGAAAAAGAUAAAUUUAAUUCAAGCCUAUUUUUUUCUUCAUAGUAAAUCUUCUGAUUUUGUUUUUUUGACUUCUAUUACAUCAGGAAAUGAGGAGUCAAUGAAUCAAUAAAGAUCAACUUCAACUACUGCAAGAUGUUAGUGGUGCUUUUAGACCAGGAAUUUUGACAACACUUGUGGAUGUAUUUGCUGGAAGAAAAAUAGGUGGAUACAUUGAAGGAAGUAUUACCAUCUGAGGUUACCCAAAGAACCAAACAACAUUUGCUAAUAGAAUAUUUUGAAGUGAGUGUUGAAGUUUUUAUAUGGCUAUAUCGUCUUUAGAACUUAGUUUCAUACAUUGUGUACCAUGGUAUGCUUAGCGUGUGCGUGUUAAUUUUGAAAUUUGAAAUUACAUAAAGUUAGGGAAAUAAACUAGGAUCCAUCGUAAUGUAUAUGAUAUGUACUCAUAAAACAAAUAGCAUAUAUGAUUUGUUAAAAAAAAUAACAAAUUAAAA